AUGAACUUGAUAAAAAAUUUAAAUGGUCAGAGAAACCUUGUGUCUUGGCAUGUUUGUGUGAGUGUCUGUCAGACAGGGAGUAAAAAAAGAGAGAAAAAUGUUCAUCUCCAACCCUCAUUCCAUGCUGUGGCCCCCAAACAUCCACGCUGUAAACCACAAUUGAUCAAAUGUAACCAGUUUCCCUCCCCAGAGCAACCCCCAAAUCCCUCAAGUGUUGACAACUUAAAAUUGAGCAUUUCAGAAUCCCUAAUACAGCAGAUCGGGGCUGACUGGUCUACAAUCCCUCUACCAUGGAGGGUUUUCCAUUCAACAGCACCAGUCAGGCCACCAUAAGGGCAAAAAGUCAAAGAGGAGGAUAUACUGGACAGAAACUGCCUGUCCGCCCCCACCACAAACACACAAACAGGAGAAGUGAGAGAGAAGCAAAUCUUGAAUGUAUGUUUGUGGUGAUAUGCAACAAACCAUGAAAAGGAUAAUACAUUCAAACAAGCAAGCGAUGCUCAAAAUUGAGCAUGUGCACAUGUGUGGGUGCAGUGUUGUGCGAGUCUGAGGCCGUGCAAAUGCAGACUAUCACAUCCAGCCGUGAUUGGGAGUCCCAUAGGGCGGCACACAAUUGGCCCAGCGUCGUCCGGGUUUGGCCGGGAAACAAUUUGUUAUUAAAUGACUUGCUUAGUAAAAUAAGGUUCAAUAAAAUACAAAAUUGUUUUUCUAACUCCGGAUACAGAGUUCACACUGUUGACAGAAUUUGUCACAGUAAACCAUGUACUUCGUAGUGCUCCGUUGCCUAAAAUGGAAAAAACACUGUCAAGUCAAAAAAAUAACUGCAUUAUAAUACAUUUUCAGUGUCUAAAUUGGUAUAUUACAGCAAGAAUUUAUAGGGAGGACUUUAUUAAAAAAUGGUUUGGCAAAGGUACUGAUACAGUACAUAUUAAUAAUAAUACAGUCACGAUGUUAAGGGGCACCCAAAAUAACAACACAGCAUUCGUGAUUCACCAAUGCGGCUCCUGGUUCAGUAGGCAUCACUAUAAUUGAUGGAGUGGACUACAGUAUACACGAAACACGUCAUCUCCGCAUACUUAAUUGCUUAUAUAGGUUCAAAUGAAACAAACAUUCCCAUCUUUGCGAUCUCUUAACCAUAACUUACUUUAGCUACAGUACUGGCUGACAUAUAGUUCUGUGCGUCUAUGAAAAUGAACCUACGUCCAAGGGAGAUCAAGUACACUACGUAGCAGCAAUACCUCUGUUAAAAAAAGCAGGUUCUCCUUUUUAUCAAAUAUAUCAAAUCCUAUCACGUCUGUCAUAAUGUUCUAUAGCAAUAUCAUUAAAGCUAAGAGGGUAAGACCACGUGUUCUAAAACAUGAAAUCAUGUUUCCUGGCAUUUUCAAAUAUAUUCCAAACUACACCCCAUAUUAUGGGAAAAAAUAUAUCAUAGUCAAAUAUCACUGUCUGUGUGUCUCUCCUCUGUACCGGGCUCCUGCUGCAGUUCUCCUACUCAGUCAGAC
rnacentral:lncRNA from 13 species